rnacentral:rRNA from 1 species
UGCGUAGGCGGUUAUUUAAGUAGGAUGUGAAAUCUCCCGGCUCAACCGGGGAACUGCGUUCUAAACUGGAUAACUUGAGUGAGAUAGAGGUGUGCGGAACUUCCGGUGGAGCGGUGAAAUGUGUUGAUAUCGGAGGGAACACCGUUGGCGAAAGCGGCACACUGGGUCUUAACUGACGCUGAGGCACGAAAGCCGAGGGGAGCAAACG